ensembl:lncRNA
CAUAAAUGCUGCUUAGGCUGCUUGCAGUCUGUAAAUUUUGAGUGAAGCAAAGAAAUAAGGAAAAGGAUAAAUGGAAGAAAGGAGAGAGAGAAGGGCGAGGAGGAAAGGAGGAAAAGACAGUAGAGAAAAACAGGAGGAGAGGAGGCUAAAUGGAAAAGAAUCAUCCUGCUGGAGCAGCUCAUUCUCAGGAGGGGCAGAUGAGGGAGCAACCAGUCUGGUGUCUGUGGAUCAGAGGCAGAAAGCAAGAUGGAGGUCACUUUUGCAGACUCUUGCAUGUCAGGGAGCAUUUACUGUCUUCUUAAACAGACACCCCAUCUGUGCUUUGAGAAGACAAUUCUGGCCAGAGCUGCAUAGAGAAGAUACUUUCUCUGACUAUGUUCCUUCAUACUCCUCAUGCCCUCCUUCCACCUGAGCAACUCUUCCGCUAGAGUUUGAGGCAACUUCUGAAAACGAGUGACCUCCUGGACUAUUCCGAAAGGGGUAGGAACCAUGUCUUAUACCCCUUGGCAUCACAGCUUUGAGCCUCCAAUCUACUUGUAAUACAUGAUGUAAUACCACUACAUGUAAUACCUUGAUGCUAACCCAAGGAAACGGUUCCAGAAAGGACCCUAUCACCUUUAGAGAAGGGGCAAGAAGAUGAGAAAAUGGGGGCCAACCCAAAAUCCAGAAAUACUCUAUUCUCUCUUCUCUCAGAUGGGAGCAAGACAGAGGUCAAAGUUUAUAUUUUCAAACUUAGAAAUCCAUCAUGUCAGAAGAAGAACUUGAGCUGCAUGAGUCUGAGAGCCUUUGAGUUCUCUGAAGCUAUGUAUGCUACAUACCUCGAUCAGAGAGAUUCCCUGAGAGAUACUUAUUAAUUUCUUCAACAACCAAGCAUUGGGGGGACACUCUGUCAUCAGCCUUGAACCAGCGGCUCCGUAGAUCACAGAAGAGAUUAAAUGUCCUCAUGUGUGAUUGGGAACAUUUGCACAGCUGAGAACGCACAGCAUGCUGAGGUGCCAGGUUGAGCCCAGUGACUGGCUGCCACAGUGGGCAGGAAGAAGAGUUGCUGUGUGUUACUCUGGGAGUGGACAGGGGCAGUGAAAUUGGAGAUAUGGGGUUAUAAAUGGGCAACAUCAUCAACCACAGAUUCCUCAGGAACAUCUUUGUCUCUGGUCCCGUCAGACAUUGGAGAAAAUUCAAGAGCUGAAUAAAAUACCCUACCCCAUGAUCUAAUCAAGGAAUUCUAAGUAGAG